UCUUAUCUCACCUCUGCCUGGCUCUCAAGAUGCAGUGGGCCCUGAAGCCUGCUAAUUAGAGAUGGCUGGGAAAAGUACCAGGGCCCUGGUCUGGCAGCUGUGCCUGGCUCUAAAUUCAAUAUCCAGUGCCCUUCGGGGUGAGGGCUCACCUUGAUAAGCCCCCAGGACAAAGCAGGGAGACAGACGGGGCUUGUUCUCAGCAGAGCCUUCGCCCUCUGAAUACGCUUUUUGUUUAAGCCCCAGGACCGACCGAGAACAUUCCAUGGCCUGGCGAACUCCCCGUCUUCCCAAGGACCGUCUUCCUGCUUCCCUUCCCUCCAAUGGUGCAGAUCGCAAGAGUACUCCCUGACCGAUGUCCCGGAUGGAACUCUUCAUCAUCUGGAGGAGUGCAGCCCCCCACCAUCUUUGUAGUGAUUCACGCAGCACAGAGGAAACAUCUACUAGGCAGUUCCAGCUUCCUAGUGAUUCCAAGGGGCUGCUUACAGGGAAGGACACGAGAGGAUGGCAGUCUGCGACCCAGAAGAGGGUUCCCAAAGAGCCCUGGCAAGCUGGCAUCCUGCUCCUGGACUUCCGGCCUCUGUAACUGUGGGAAAUCGACUGCAGCCCCCAGUCCACGCUGAGCUGUUACCGCCGCCUAAAUGAAGACAGCCUUUCUGUCUUCGUCCUACCACCGAAGGAGAAAUGUUCUCUGUAACCUAUGCUUUUGGAGUGAAAUA